rnacentral:rRNA from 1 species
CGUGUAGGCGGCCAAACAGGUCCGUUGUGAAAACUGGAGGCUUAACCUCCAGACGUCGACGGAAACCGUGUGGCUAGAGUCCGGAAGAGGAGAGUGGAAUUCCUGGUGUAGCGGUGAAAUGCGCAGAUAUCAGGAAGAACACCAAUGGCGAAGGCAGCUCUCUGGGACGGUACUGACGCUGAGACGCGAAAGCGUGGGAGCGAACA